AGCAUUACCUGGCCGGGAAGAUGCUGUGGUCUUGAAUGUGGCUCACUCAGGUUGAGGCUCGGUCACUGCACUGUGGCUUUGCUGGCCCCUGCCAAUUCCCUUGAUGCGGCACUCAGCUGCAUCAUUUCUGCUAGCGGGGGUCUUCAUUUGUACCUCCCCC